AACGAACGCUGGCGGCAUGCCUAACACAUGCAAGUCGAACGACACCUCCGGGUUUAGUGUCGCACGGGUGCGUAACGCGUUGGAACCUGCCCUUAGGUUUGGAAUAACUUCCCGAAUGGGGUGCUAAUACCGGGUAUUGUCCUCGGUCCAAAGAUUUAUCGCCUUUGGAUGGGCCCGCGUUGUAUCAGUUGGUUGGUAGGGUAAAACCCUACCACUGCGUCGAUACAUAGCUGGUUAGAGAGGCUGAUCAGACACACUGGUGGUAGGAAACGGCCCAGAAUCCUAGAGAAGGCGGGAGAGGGGGAUAUAGGAAAGUGGGGGGAAGGAUGAAGGAGCAAUGCCGGGAGAGUGAUGAAGGCCUUGGAGUAGUAAAGCGCUCUUACACGGGAUGAUAAUGACAGUACCGGGAGAAUAAGCACCGGCUAACUCCGUG
rnacentral:rRNA from 1 species